ACUUACAGUGUUUUGAGGUCAAGCAAGUCUCCAAAAGUUGGACUAAUAGACCUCAGGUUGAUCUGUGAAAGAAACCUGGACAACCAGAAGAAGCAAAAAUCUGAGCUGAGUUCCAGAAAUGUGAAAAGCAAGGGUUGUCUUACAAUGAUGUAACACGGCUUCCUUCACACUCAAUGUGGUUCCAAGGAAGAGGAGUGCAUGGGUCGUCUUGCCAUCCAAGGUAGCAAUCAAACAGAGGAUACCUGUGGUAGAAGAAGCUUCUGGAGGGAUUUGGAGGAUUUCAUACACCUCAAGAGCGUUCACCUGAGGAUUGAACUUGAUUUUUUCAAAGACUGUUUGACUUCGUUAUUGAUGGUCACACUAAAAGAAGGGGAGAGUGAGAGUAUCCCAGCGAAGUAGAGGAUAAUGUAGUAGUCCCCUAGUGUAUCUAGAGAAAG